rnacentral:rRNA from 1 species
UGGGGAAUAUUGGACAAUGGGCGAAAGCCUGAUCCAGCCAUGCCGCGUGUGUGAAGAAGGUCUUCGGAUUGUAAAGCACUUUAAGUUGGGAGGAAGGGCCAUUACCUAAUACGUGAUGGUUUUGACGUUACCGACAGAAUAAGCACCGGCUAACUCUGUGCCAGCAGCCGCGGUAAUACAGAGGGUGCAAGCGUUAAUCGGAAUUACUGGGCGUAAAGCGCGCGUAGGUGGUUUGUUAAGUUGGAUGUGAAAUCCCCGGGCUCAACCUGGGAACUGCAUUCAAAACUGACUGACUAGAGUAUGGUAGAGGGUGGUGGAAUUUCCUGUGUAGCGGUGAAAUGCGUAGAUAUAGGAAGGAACACCAGUGGCGAAGGCGACCACCUGGACUGAUACUGACACUGAGGUGCGAAAGCGUGGGGAGCAAACAGGAUUAGAUACCCAGUAGUCCCUGAGCGGGCUGGCAAGGCGCAU